UACAACUUUCAGCAACGGAUCUCUUGGCUCUCGCAUCGAUGAAGAACGCAGCGAAAUGCGAUAAGUAAUGUGAAUUGCAGAAUUCAGUGAAUCAUCGAAUCUUUGAACGCACCUUGCGCUCCUUGGUAUUCCGAGGAGCAUGCCUGUUUGAGUGUCAUUAAAUUCUCAACCUC
rnacentral:rRNA from 10 species